rnacentral:rRNA from 1 species
CCCCCUGGACAAAGAUUGACGCUCAGGUGCGAAAGCGUGGGGAGCAAACAGGGAUGAGAUACCCUGGUAGUCCACGCUGUAAAUGAUGUCGACUUGGAGGUUGUGCCCUUGAGGCGUGGCUUCCGGAGCUAACGCGUUAAGUCGACCGCCUGGGGAGUACGGCCGCAAGGUUAAAACUCAAAUGAAUUGACGGGGGCCCGCACAAGCGGUGGAGCAUGUGGUUUAAUUCGAUGCAACGCGAAGAACCUUACCUACUCUUGACAUCCACGGAACUUGCCAGAGAUGGCUUGGUGCCUUCGGGAACCGUGAGACAGGUGCUGCAUGGCCGUCGUCAGCUCGUGUUGUGAAAUGUUGGGUUAAGUCCCGCAACGAGCGCAACCCUUAUCCUUUGUUGCCAGCACUUCGGGUGGGAACUCAAAGGAGACUGCCGGUGAUAAACCGGAGGAAGGUGGGGAUGACGUCAAGUCAUCAUGGCCCUUACGAGUAGGGCUACACACGUGCUACAA